rnacentral:lncRNA from 1 species
AAAACAACAAAAACAAAAAAGUUACAAACUUUGGUUCUUCCAACAGCAAUUUAAUCCUUCCUUUCUUCCUCCUCUGCAAAGGGAUCAUUUUUUAUUUUUUGUUCUUCUGGUGGUUCCUGAGUUUCACAUUUGCAUGGCUAUGAAUGCGUGAAACUCCAGAUACGCCAUCGAUUUGAAGAAAGAACAUUGCAAUGGAGGUAGAAAGAAUGAUUCAGUUGAUGCUCUUAUUUUGUAGAAAGCCAAGUUCCCGUGUAGCACUUGUGGGUGGAAACCAUACCGCUUCUAGAUUCUCCA